rnacentral:rRNA from 1 species
GACGAACGCUGGCGGCGUGCUUAACACAUGCAAGUCGAACGGAAAGGCCCUGCUUUUGUGGGGUGCUCGAGUGGCGAACGGGUGAGUAACACGUGAGUAACCUGCCCUUGACUUUGGGAUAACUUCAGGAAACUGGGGCUAAUACCGGAUAGGAGCUCCUGCUGCAUGGUGGGGGUUGGAAAGUUUCGGCGGUUGGGGAUGGACUCGCGGCUUAUCAGCUUGUUGGUGGGGUAGUGGCUUACCAAGGCUUUGACGGGUAGCCGGCCUGAGAGGGGGAACGGGCACAUUGGGACUGAGAUACGGCCCAGACUCCUACGGGCGGCAGCAGUGGGGAAUAUGGCAGAAUGGGCGGAAGCCUGAUGCAGCAACGCCGCGUGCGGGAUGACGGCCUUCGGGUUGUAAACCGCUUUCGCCUGUGACGAAGCGUGAGUGACGGUAAUGGGUAAAGAAGCACCGGCUAACUACGUG